CUGGACUCCAGCCUGGGCAGCAGAGCCAGACUCCAUCUAAAAAAAAAAAAAAAAAAAAGACUCAAACAUGGUACUAACAACAGGAGAGAAGUGGGUGGGAAAAAAGCAAGCGAAUUGGAACUUUUGAGGCUCUAGAACACCAUUCAUAGGAUUAUAUGCUGAUAAUGUUUAUUUUAAACAUUUAUUUAUAUUUAAUAUUAUCUAUUAAUAAUAUUUAUUCAAAAAUAAUGACAUUACUAUGUUGGCCACUAAUAUUGGCCUACAAAAAUUUAACACAGGAAUCUUGAAGAUUUGAUGUCCACAGAAGGCGUGAAACCAAAGCAACGAGAAACACAAACACAGAGAAUUUCAUCCUUUCUGCUCACUGAAAAUUCUCUCUUCUUGAGAAUCAAGUCUUUUAAAAAAUAUAUUUCGUGAAACUGAAAUAAUCAGCAAGGAUUUUGUUUAGCUCUUUUAACAGAGACCAAAUGACAGUGCCUCAGACAAGGUAGAAGAUUGUGUGUCUUUCAUGUUAAAGCCUCAGCUGCUCAGCAGACCAGGAAGCAGGAAGUUAGGCUUCACGUGUCUGUGAACGAAUCAUACCAAACUCCCUGCCCUCAUGAGGUGGGGGCAGGGUGGGGUGGAGGAGGAAACCAACAUCCAUAAAGACAGAGUGUACUAGAGGGUGACAGCAAGCAGGAAGAAGGUUAAGCAGGGUAAGAGUUGGUAGUCAAGGAGAGUAGAUUAAAUUUAAAGACGGGGGCCAGGUGAACCACUUCAAGAGGGAGCCUACCAGGUGAAACUAGAAGGAAGCAAAAGAGGAAGUGGUGGAGGUAUUUGAGGGAAAGCAAGCAGAGGGGAUGGGCGGUCAGUUCAGAGGUCCUGGGGCCUGUUCACAACUGAGCUGUCUGAGGAGCACAAAAGCGUGGCUGCCAUACACAGAGUGAGCAAAGAUGACCCCCACCGAAGCAGAUGCUCCCCUGUUCCCUGCUGGGACCCGGUCCCAACCCCAGUACUAGCCCCAGUGAUCUACUCUCUACUCUUCUUUGCCGUUUGUGCCUUAGAAGAUUAACCUGUAUGAGCCACAUCAAUCAGUUCCCUUGUCCUCUGUUUGGGUUCAUCAGAUGAGGUGUCCUGGCAGGAGAUGAGAAAGCAGGAGCAGAGUAACCUUGGGGUAUCUAUUUCUCUAAUGCCUCCAAACUAGAUCACUGUGAAUUAGUUACAUCCCUCAACUGAUGAUUACAGCUUCUGCCAAGCAACUGUCCCACUCCAUACAGCUCUUUCUCUCCUGGUUCUAGUAAUUGCUUCCUGUCCUCAAUUCUUCAUACCUAGGAAUGAUAAAGGAGCCCUGCCCUUACUGACCUUGUGCUGUUACACUAGCCCUGUGGUUUCCCUACUGCACCACCCAUUCCUUUGUGAGUAGUCCCUCUUAUUUUUCUCUCAUCUGUUACCUAACUUGACUUUGCCAUUUGCCUUCUGCUAAGAACUUGAUGAUACAAUAGCUACGUGAUGGGCUUCCCUUCCUGUGAGUCUUCAGAAUAUUCCCUUGCUUUUAUCUAACGUUUUGAGAUGAAAAUAAAUUCAUCCUAACUGAACAUUUCCUUGAUGGCUGGUCUAGUAAAGGGAGCUUGCUUUUCAAUACAUAAUGUUCAUAAUAGAAAUUAAAAACUUUCCUCAUGGAACACUCUGAGGUUCAUGGUUUGCGGAGGCUUUGUAUAAAAGGAAGGUGAAGAAGGAAUGGAUAUCAACCACUCCCCACCUCCAUUCUACUUUAGAGUUUUUGGCUGAUUUGGGGGAAGUUGCAAAAUUUGUGCCUUAAGACAGUGGUCCCCAACCUUUUGGCACCAGGGACCAGUUUCGGGAAGACAACUUUUCCAUGAACUGGGGGCUGGGACGACGGUUUCGGGAUGCAACUGUUCCACCUCACAUAAUCAGGCAUUAGAUUCUCACAAGAAGCAUGCAACCCAGAGCCCUUACACGCACAGUUCAUAAUACUGUUUGUGCUCAAAUGCUACCACUGAUCUGACAGAAGAUGGAGCUCAGGCAGUAAUGCUUGCUCACCCGCUGCUCACCUUCUGCUGUGCGGCCCAGUAUCCUAACAGGCUAGGGGCUGUACAGAUCUGCGGCCCAGGGCCUGGGGAUCCCUGCCUUAAGAGAUCAACCAACUCUUCAGUAUAUGAGGGUUUACGUGGGUAAUUAUAGAAUUAACUUAUUAUAGAUGACCAGAUGGAAUUUUUAGUCAGU